rnacentral:lncRNA from 1 species
UCCCAGCUACUUGGGAGGCUGAGGCAGGAGAAUCACUUGAACCCAGGAAGCGGAGGUUGCAGUGAGCCAAGAUAGUGCCAUUGCACUCCAGCCUGGGCAACAAGAGCGAAACUCCAUCUCAAAAAAAAAAAAAUUACAUUUAUACAUUGCACAAUUUAAAGAAAAAUAAUAAGCAGCAUUCCAUUUAAGAAAAAUGAAUGUAACCAACUCCUCAAAGCACUCUGUGAGCUCCUCCCUAAUCUCAAUGUCUUGUCUCUUCCUCUAGAGGAAUUUUUUUUUUUUUUUUUUUUUUGGUAGAGAUGAGGUCUCAUGACGUUACUGAGGCUGGUCUAGAGCUCCUAAGUUCAAGUGAAAGGUGCAUGGGACAAAGUCUGGAGGAAACCAGGUGCAAACAAGGUUCCAAGAGUCCUCCCAGUAGUGAUGACAGAGCGAAACUCCGUCUCAAAAAAAAAAAAAAAAAAAAAAAAAAGAAUAAAGUCUUUGCCUUUAAACAACUCAAAAUCUAAUUGUGUUUACACAUAAGCAAAAUAUAAAGCAGAAUGAGCUAAGUACUAUAAAUGGCUGUGUAAGAAGCUGAUGAAAGAAGUCCUGAACAAAAUUUGGUGGAAGUCCAAAUAAGAGUUAAAUGUUCUUCUCAUUUUCUUUCUAUUUUCUUCUGAGACAGGGUCUUGCUCCGUCGCC